UCUUCCAUGAAUUCCAAGUACAUUUUCUUCAACUCAGGGUCACGAUGCAAUCGUCUUUCAAGCGACAAAAACCGCCGUUUCGCAACCUCAAAGGAGUUGCCUAAACAAAUUGGAUCUGAUUUAAACGGGAGCCUUACUUCGAACCGACCUGAUGAUAGUACCUGAGUCGUCUUACGAUAGUGUUCUUACUGACGCUCGCGCCGAUUUUAAGAUGGAUAUCAUAACGAAAGACAAGGUUGAAGGUACCGAGGUCAUUUGUAUGUGGAUAUAGAGGUCUCUGACAGUCUUAAUGAACAUCUAAAAAGGGACCACAGAAACCAAAUUCCCAGCUCUUAUAUAAGUAAGGUAGCCCGCCUGUUAUGCAUAGCUCUGCCAUGCGUUGAACUCUACUGUGUCUGUUGAGAUAAUUUCUUUUGUCUAGGGCUGGCCACCAUUCUACCACUCCAUAGAGCAUAAUAGGUCGUAUGAUGGCGAUUGAAAAAUUAGAAGAGUUUUUCUAAUCAAUUACCGAAAA